CUGUGCUAGGUGGGGGGCUAGCGGUCCCCUGCAUCCACAACCCGCUACAGUGGAGCCGAAGGGUCCCCUGAGGGGGAGAGCGGUGAGGUCAAGCAGCGGGCAAGCGGUGUUGAGGGUCGAGCCCUCUGCGGCGCAUGUCGGUGAACCCCGUCAGGCCCGGAAGGGAGCAGCGGUAAGCCGACCUCUGCGGGUGUUAGAGGAUCACUUGGCCUGAGCUGGCUACUCGUAUAGCGCUCGUUGCUCUCUCUCGACGGGGCCGCGCACAG
rnacentral:SRP_RNA from 2 species